rnacentral:lncRNA from 12 species
UUCUAAUCUAUAUUUCUCUAAGAUUUCAGAUCACCUUUUCCUAAUUGAGUGAUCAAGCUAUUUCAUCUGGUGUUUCAUGAAAUGAAAUUACUAUCUUAGGCUCAAAAUUGAUUUUUUAACUAUGAUAAACUUUUGAGUAAAUAAUUUUCAUAACUACAAGGUCUUAAGGUGCCAAAAGAAGAAAACAUUCCUCUCUGAUUUAUUCCUAUUACAUAUUAAACAGGCUACUUGACCAGAACUGAAACCAGAUGAAGAGGAAAUGGAUCUCCAAUUUGAAGUGUGAUAGUUGCUUAAAAGGCAGAUUAUUGCCCUACCUAACAUCACCUCGGGUCAAGAAAGCAGGAGCCAAACCUGUUCCUGCUGGAUAAGUGGCGGAAUCUGAUUAGGCACCACUAGCUUGCCUACCAAGUAAAGGACUAACAACAUGAAUAAGCAAAUCUCUCCACGCUUAAGCCUUUCCUCCUCCAAUUCUCCCACUUUGGCCUCCUCCACAUCCCAGGGGCCUUCCUAAAAGAAAACUCUCCUAGAGAAAAAUAACAACCACUACCACCCCACCAACUAAACUCAUCAAGAGGAUCUCCUCACACAUCACUGUCUAAGGUA